rnacentral:rRNA from 1 species
UACAGAGGUCUCAAGCGUUGUUCGGAUUCAUUGGGCGUAAAGGGUGCGUAGGCGGCGCGGUAAGUCGGGUGUGAAAUCUCGGAGCUUAACUCCGAAACUGCAUUCGAUACUGCCGUGCUUUGAGGACUGGAGGAGGAGACUGGAAUUUACGGUGUAGCGGUGAAAUGCGUAGAUAUCGUAAGGAAGACCAGUGGCGAAGGCGGGUCUCUGGACAGUUCCUGACGUGAGGCACGAAGGUCAGGGGAGCAAACGGG